UACGUAGGGUGCGAGCGUUGCCCGGAUUUAUUGGGCGUAAAGGGCGCGCAGGCGGUACGGCACGUCCGUUGUGAAAUCGCUCGGCUCAACUGGGCGGGGUCAGCGGAUACGGCCGCACUUGAGCAAGCUAGGGGGCAAUGGAAUUCCCGGUGUAGUGGUGGAAUGCGUAGAUAUCGGGAGGAACACCAGUGGCGAAGGCGGUUGCCUGGAGCUUUGCUGACGCUGAGGCGCGAAAGCUAGGGGAGCAAACGGG
rnacentral:rRNA from 1 species